rnacentral:rRNA from 1 species
UUACCCUACUUUUGGCAGCAGUUAGGAAUAUUGGUCAAUGGACGCAAGUCUGAACCAGCCAUGCCGCGUGCAGGAAGACGGCUCUAUGAGUUGUAAACUGCUUUUGUACGAGGGUAAACGCAGAUACGUGUAUCUGUCUGAAAGUAUCGUACGAAUAAGGAUCGGCUAACUCCGUGCCAGCAGCCGCGGUAAUACGGAGGAUUCAAGCGUUAUCCGGCUUUAUUGGGUUUAAAGGGUGCGUAG